GAUGAACGCUGGCGGCGUGCCUAAUACAUGCAAGUCGAGCGAACGGACGAGAAGCUUGCUUCUCUGAUGUUAGCGGCGGACGGGUGAGUAACACGUGGAUAACCUACCUAUAAGACUGGGAUAACUUCGGGAAACCGUAGCUAAUACCGGAUAAUAUUUUGAACCGCAUGGUUCAAAAGUGAAAGACGGUCUUGCUGUCACUUAUAGAUGGAUCCGCGCUGCAUUAGCUAAUUGGUAAGGUAACGGCUUACCAAGGCAACGAUGCAUAGCCGACCUGAGAGGGUGAUCGGCCACACUGGAACUGAGACACGGUCCAGACUCCUACGGGAGGCAGCAGUAGGGAAUCUUCCGCAAUGGGCGAAAGCCUGACGGAGCAACGCCGCGUGAGUGAUGAAGGUCUUCGGAUCGUAAAACUCUGUUAUUAGGGAAGAACAUAUGUGUAAGUAACUGUGCACAUCUUGACGGUACCUAAUCAGAAAGCCACGGCUAACUACGUG
rnacentral:rRNA from 1 species